rnacentral:lncRNA from 1 species
GUUUCUUUUAUCGAAGACUAUAUACUAUAAUACUUGUUAUUGUACGACCAACCAAUUCCUUAAAAUGAAAGGAUUCAAACAAAAAAACCUUUUCUACAACCACGAAAAGGGGCUUUAUAGAUUUCGCAUCUAAUUCAAUUUUGGGAAUAUGAAAAUAUCUUUCAUGAAUUAUUAGAACCCAACUCGUCGGACUCACACUUUACCAAAUCUUCAGUUUCUAGUCUAAAGCCAGUAAUGGAAAGAAACCCUAUACUACAGGAGAGGCAUUUUCCUAUUGAAUGGCACAUGGUUCUGCAUUAACAUAACAAGCAAAAAAGAAAAAGAAAGAAAUAUUGUAUCACUUCUUUUCUAUACUGAUUGAAAUUGCGUUACUGGGUCAAAAGAAGGAUAGCUAUACUAAUUCGGUACACUUUAAAGACACCCUCGGUACCACUAUUGAAGAUCUCACAAAGAUUAAAUCUCAGUGAAUUUCCAUUUAC